rfam:Octopus bimaculoides Scaffold69027_contig_78, whole genome shotgun sequence.
GCUUACGGCCAUAUUACGUUGAAAGCACCGGUCCUCGUCCGAUCACCGAAGUUAAGCAACAUUGAGCCUAGUUAGUACUUAGAUGGGUGACCGCUUGGGAAACCUAGGUGCUGUAAGCA